rnacentral:misc_RNA from 1 species
GAUGAAGAACGUAGCGAAAUGCGAUAAGUAAUGCGAAUUGCAGAAUUCAGUGAAUCAUCGAAUCUUUGAAAGCACAUUGCGCCCCCUGGUAUUCCGGGGGGCAUGCCUGUCCGAGCGUCAUUACAACCCUCAAGCUCAGCUUGGUGUUGGGCCCCGCCGCCCCGGCGGGCCCUAAAGUCAGUGGCGGUGCCGUCCGGCUCCGAGCGUAGUAAUUCUUCUCGCUCUGGAGGUCCGGUCGUGUGCUCGCCAGCAACCCCCAAUUUUUUUCAGGUUGACCUCGGAUCAGGUAGGGAUACCCGCUGAACUUAAGCAUAUCAAUAAGCGGAGGA